GAUGAAGAGCGUAGCGAAAUGCGAUAAGUAGUGUGAAUUGCAGAAUUCAGUGAAUCAUCGAAUCUUUGAACGCACAUUGCGCCCUUUGGUAUUCCUUAGGGCAUGCCUGUUCGAGCGUCAUUUAAACCUUCAAGCUCAGCUUGGUGUUGGGUGACUGUCCGCUUCACCGCGGACUCGCCUCAAAAUUAUUGGCGGCCGGUACAUUGGCUUCGAGCGCAGCAGAAACGCGAACUCGGGCCCGUCGUAUUGGCUCCCAGAAGCUAUCUUCACAAUUUUGACCUCGGAUCAGGUAGGGAUACCCGCUGAACUUAAGCAUAUCAAUAAGCGGAGGA
rnacentral:misc_RNA from 1 species